AACGAACGCUGGCGGCAUGCCUAACACAUGCAAGUCGAACGAGAUCCUUCGGGGUCUAGUGGCGCACGGGUGCGUAACGCGUGGGAAUCUGCCCUUUGCUUCGGAAUAACAGUUAGAAAUGACUGCUAAUACCGGAUGAUGUCUUCGGACCAAAGAUUUAUCGGCAAGGGAUGAGCCCGCGUAGGAUUAGGUAGUUGGUGGGGUAAAGGCCUACCAAGCCGACGAUCCUUAGCUGGUCUGAGAGGAUGAUCAGCCACACUGGGACUGAGACACGGCCCAGACUCCUACGGGAGGCAGCAGUGGGGAAUAUUGGACAAUGGGCGCAAGCCUGAUCCAGCAAUGCCGCGUGAGUGAUGAAGGCCUUCGGGUCGUAAAGCUCUUUUACCAGGGAUGAUAAUGACAGUACCUGGAGAAUAAGCUCCGGCUAACUCCGUGCCAGCCGCCGCGGUAAUAC
rnacentral:rRNA from 1 species